ensembl:lncRNA
GUCAGAGGGUGUGGCUACAGUGUGCAAAGAACAGACUGAGAGCCUGCAGAGACCAGAAGGGGGUGUUGGAUAUGUCAGCACUGAAGUGACAGGUAAGCUGCCAUGUGGCUGCUGGGAACUGAACUCGAGUCCUCUUCAAGAACAAGGACAGAAGACAGUGUCAGAUCCCCUGGAAUUAGAGUUACAAAUGGCUGUAAGCAACCUGAAAGUACUUCAAAGAGAUAUCUUGCCUGACUCUGCCACACCAACUGUCACAAAGGUCCCAGGACACGAUGUGGGUGGUUCUUCUCCACACCACAAAGGUGGACCACCGAGGACCUGCAUCCUUCUGUGAUUUCUCACCCACCCGAGAGCCCAUGCCAAGCCCUUAGAGCGCCUCCUGAAUUCCUUUCUAUCCCAUCUCAUGCCUUACAUGAGUUAAACAGUUCCUGAUAGACAAAAUGGGUAACUCAGUAUUCUGUGUAUAAACUGAAUUUCCUAGUGCUGCUUAGGACAUCGUGCUCAACGGAGCAAUAGAAAGUCAAUUUAACACAAUAAACAGGGAAAGCAGAAAGAGUAAACAAAACGUGGAAGGGUGAGGCUUGUUCUUUCUGAUGAGGCAGCUUCCUGUCAGCCUUUGAAAGAACAAGUUUUUGAAAAAUGUCCGACCCUACUCAUUUGGUUUUUUCCACAGUCCAUUACAUAUUUUUAUACAUUUCCAGAAAAAAAAAUAUGAGAAAAGAUGUGAUUAAAACCAGAAAUAAUUCACAAGUGGAAUACAAGUUAUUUUAUUAAUUUGUUUAAGUGUGUGUGUGUGUGUGUGUGUGUGUGUGUGUGUGUGUGUGUGUGUGUGUAUGCGCCCUCUGUGGAGGACAUAGGAAAAUCUGUAGGAGUCAAUUCUUCCCUUCCCUUGUGUGGGGCCUGGGAUCUAACUCACACCUUCAUCUGAGCCAUUUUGUCAACACCAUGCAAACUAUUUUAAAGCUUUUUGUUUGUUUUGAAACAGGCCCCUCAUGUAGUCCAGACUGGCCUCACCUCAAUGGCCCUGCCUCAGCAUCUCAGAGUGCUGGGUUAAGAGUCCACACCACUACCUAGGGUUCUUUAAGCUAUUUUUCAUCUGAAACAAACCUCCAGGAAGCAUCCACCACAGUUCAAGGGUGCAAAAACAGC